GUUAACCUGUUUGUAUGUAUUUCUGCUCCCCUAAAUAUGCCAUUAACAGUUUCAACAUACAGCACGGAAUAACUGCACAGGUCUGUGUGACGGACUAUAUGUACCAGAGAGAGAAAAGACACGUCAGUAUACCUUUAACUUUAAACAACUCGGUUGUAGCCGGCGAGCGGGCGAAAGACCACGUGCAACAUGCAGACAAUUGAAGUCCUGGCAUCCAAUGGGAAAACCGUGCGUUAAGGUGAUUGAAGUUUCCCUGGCUGAACAGCUGAAUUGUCCAUGUGUUAACCCAGGUUAAGAUUCGUUGUUGCAGUCGACAUUGGUUGCCCUGUUCCAUUAACUCGUUUGCCAUUGGUUGACUUGCCAGCUCUGUCCACACCAG